rnacentral:rRNA from 1 species
CGGAGAAGGAGCAUGAGAACCUUCUACCACAUCCAAGGAAGGCAGCAGGCGCGCAAAUUACCCAAUCCCGACACGGGGAGGUAGUGACAAUAUGUAACAAUAUACGGCUUUAUUGUCGUAUAAUUGGAAUGAGUACAAUUUAAAUCCCUUAACGAGGAACAAUUGGAGGGCGAGUCUGGUGCCAGCAGCCGCGGUAAUUCCAGCUCCAAUAGCGUAUAUUAAAGUUGUUGCAGUUAAAAAGCUCGUAGUUGGACCUUGGGCCUGGACAGGCGGUCCGCCUCACGGCGUGUACUGUCUUGCUGGGCCUUUCCUCUUGGUGAUCUGUGGUUUCGGCCGCAGGGAACCAGGACCUUUACUUUGAAAAAAUUAGAGUGUUCAAAGCAGGCUUUACGCCAGAAUAUAUUAGCAUGGAAUAAUAAAAUAGGACGUGCGGUUCUAUUUUGUUGGUUUUUGGGAUCGCCGUAAUGAUUAAUAGGGACAGUCGGGGGCAUUAGUACUCACAUGCUAGAGGUGAAAUUCUUGGAUUUUGUGAAGACUAACUUCUGCGAAAGCAUUUGCCAAGGAUGUUUUCAUUAAUCAAGAACGAAGGUUAGGGUAUCGAAAACGAUUAGAUAC